GAUGAAGGGGUGCAAGCUGCCGUAGCGACCCAAGAAGAGAUCCAAAUUCGUCCAAAAAUGCAUACUCUUGGUGAGUCCUGGAGCAUGGCUGUCAGAUCUCUCACAGGAGAGGUAUGUAGUCAGGGAGAAGAAGGGAUCAAGAAAGAGGAGAAGAGGAUUAAAGGCCAUGUCCAUGGAGAGUGAUUCAGAAUGAAGCAAAAGGGAGA